UGAUCAAGCUACAAAGAGCGCAUCAUGGAUGCCUUGGUGCCAAUAGGCGAUGAAGGACGUGGUAAGCUGCGAUAAGUCACGGAGAGCGGCAAACACGCUUUGACCCGUGAAUGUCCGAAUGGGGUAACCUGAGCGGGGUAACACCUGCUCGAGUUCGUGUGAAUCCAUAGCACGAACAUCGCGACACCCGGUGAAGUGAAACAUCUCAGUAACCGGAGGAAAAGAAAUCGAAAGAGAUUCCGUCAGUAGUGGCGAGCGAAAGCGGAACAGGCUAAACCCAGCACUUUCAGUUGAUUCGAAAACUUCUUGUGAAUUCACGAGCGACAGAAACGCUCGAACGAACGCGAGACAGCGGAGUCGAUUGAAAGUGCUGGGGGUUGUAGGAGCCCGACGUGGUAGUGCAAAGGUUAGGUGAAGCUUCUGGAAAGCUGCGCCAUAGAGGGUGAAAGGCCCGUAACCGAAAACCCGAGCACGCCUAGGGAUUUCCUGAGUAAUACGAUGCACGUGAAACUUCGUAUGAAUCUGCGCCGACCACGGCGUAAGCCUAAAUACUCAUUGGCGACCGAUAGUGAACAAGUACCGCGAGGGAAAGGUGAAAAGAACCGCUGCGAGCGGAGUGAAAUAGUACCUGAAAUGAUGUGCUUACAAGGUGUCAAAGCCCAGC
rnacentral:rRNA from 1 species